GGUGGGUAUCUUGUACCCCUAAUUCUACUGUCGGACACUUGUCCAUUUUUACCUCUCGUCUCACUUUUUCUUUUCCUCAAGGUUUCGGGCACUUGCCCCUUUUUAUUUCCUCGUAUUCUUCCCUUUUUUCAGAGCACUCACCCUCCUAGAAUGAUGUUGCAAGUGGUAGUAACCAAAAUAUCUGGAGCAUUUAUUUCACGGGGAGUAACAGGGUAGGAUAAUCUUUUUGGCUAUUCUCUCCUGGAUAGGAGUAGAAUAAUUUUGGGUGAAUCUGGAGAUGGAAAGGAGUGGAUGUAUGUGGAUGCGUACUUUUGGAGUAGAGGUAGCAUGUAUGAGUGAACGUGCAAGUGAAUCUUGAUUUUGACCGCAUGACAAGCUCCUAAGGGUCUACACAGCUUGACCACACUCAAUGCUCAUAAGAAGUAAAAAGUGAAUGUAUGGUUCAUAGUCUAAUAAGCAUAUAUAUAUAUGGCUGUGGUAGGAUUUUAAACUCUCAUCAUAAAGGAACUCAUCAUGCAACAUUUUAAAUAUUUUCAAAGAUAAAAUUCUCCAUAAUUCUAGCAUCUCUAGGAACAGAUAAACAGCAGCUCAACCUUUCCAUAUCAUAUCCGUUAAUGACAUAGACUAUAGAUCAAGACUUCUUCCCACAAGUUCAGGUUUAGAGCAAAUCUUAAUUCAUAACAGUCAUACUUAAACUUGAGAGAGAUUUCACUUUUGAGAACUAGUCAUGGCAGAGCAACUAUUCAUCAUUUCCAUAUGAGAGCUUAUCAUGAGGGUUCAUAGCAAACUUUAUUUAUUUAUUUAUUUUGCAAACUAAGAAAAGAUAUAUAUAUAAGCAUAAAAUCUUUAUUUGGGUUUUUUAUGAUUAUGCAUCUUUUUAUUAUUUGAGUAAAGUAUAAACAUGAGUAGAAACACUUAGCUGGAUAAAUGGGGGUGCUCUCCCCCAAGCUGGAUUUUGACGUAAUUUCUUCUGAUGUAGCUAGCAGGUGGCGGAGGUGUAUUUGAAUGUCAGCAGCACCUAGACAGCGAUUAGGAUGUCCUCCGUUUGCUAGUCUUCUUUGAUCCUUGAAUUCUGUGGAGCUCAAAUAGACAACAAAGCUUUGUGGAACUAGUUAAGUGUUAGCAUAAAAUCUCUUCGCCUUUAUCAUGUUGAGCUUCCUCUAAUAAAUAUUACUCUCUUUGGUAGGAUCAUAAAUAUAUUUUUAUAUUUUCAUUUCUAUAGAACAGGAAUAUAUUUAUUUUAUUUUUACGCCACCACAGUGAAUGUACUUAUGGGUUUCAUGCCACGAGCAUACUCACAUGGGGCUUAGUAUUUUUAAAAUUUUUAUUUUCUUUUCAAGAUAGCAUGAUUAACUAAUAAGCUAUUUAAGGAAAGUAAGUAAUUAAAGGAAAAAGGGAAUGCAGAAAGGAUAAAUAUGGACAACUACCGAUUUUACCUUUCGGUGAGGGUUCAAUGUUGUAAGUCUUGUGAACAAGACUUCUCACCGUGUUCAUUCUUCAGGUGCGUUAUUUGAUUCAGGUGCGGACCUUGACGUCUUCUCCUCUUGAUACAGUGUCACCCAUGUUCUUCGUUUGCCCAGCAGUUCAAAGUGUGGCGUUGGCAGUAUCUUGCUCAGUGUGUUUGUGCUCGUAGAUCCAGGUCUUUCACUUGGUGGAAUCUGGGAGUUGUAAAACUCCACCAUGUUUUGCUCCAAGUGUACCUGCUCAUAGAGACGAGGCAGAGAUCAAGUGCAUGGGUCCUGUUGGUGGAAAACACCAAUAGAACCAAAAGUGUAUUUGUUUUUCUCUAAACCUAAGCAUAGUGAGCAAAACAAGGUUGAUGGAUAAUAAAAUCAUGAGUGUAGCAUUUAAAACAUUUGUCAGAUCAGAUGGCUCAACCUAAUGGAAAGAUAAUCUAUGUAUAUGUCUUUUUCUUUAUAUCUUGCCAAAGAUUGAAUGUGUAACAUUUUAGCUCAUAUGAUUAGGAGUGUGGGAUCAUGGAGGUAGUACUAGGAACAAAGAUUAAAGGACUAAGCAUGCUGAAUCAGUUGGGUUGGUUAAUUUGGAGUUAUAAAUCAUACAUGUUUGUCUCUUUAUUUAUGUGAAUGCCAGAACCAAGGAGAAGCUUAUAAAAGUGAUAUCCAGAUAAGAUGUUACCUUAAUUGAAGAGUGAUGGUACCAUCUCACCUUGUGGAAGCUUCCCAUUCGUAGUGGUUGUGUAUCUUGUUUAUGUACUUUGUCUCCUUCCAUGGAUCAUCUCUCUAUGAUGAAUGAGCUAUGUCCUUCUUGUGCAAAUUGUUAAACUUCAUAUGUCUCUCUCUUCAUCUCUGUUGUGAGUUUGUCUCAGGACUUCCCAAGUCGAUAUUGAAAGUUUUCCUGCAGGGGUUAGUCCAACAAAAUAUACCAAUGUCUACACAAGCAGUUUUUAGUUCAAUAACCGAACUAGACUCCAUGUCUAAUCAGAUUAAGAAAGGCUGUUUAACCUAAGCACCAUGCUUAAUUUAAAAGCCAAUAGAAGUAUGUGCAGUACUUCCAAACUAACACUUACUAGGAUAAACAAAGGUAGCGUGAUGGCAUUUAUAGAGUUCUACUCAAGUGGAGAUGAAGUAGUGUGAUUAGUAUUUAACAAAUUGAGCAUGUCUCAAAGGUAGGGACAACCAACAUAGCAACACGGCAAAGGAUGUUUUUAUGUACAGUACUCCCCCAAGCUUGAAUUUUGCAAAAUUCAAGUUUGGGUGAAUUUAAUUCAAUGUUGUAUGAUGAUUGGUUGGACAUACCUUGUGCUUGUCAUUCAUCCAAUCUUCUUGCUCCAAUCAUGGAAAGGUUAGUGACAAGAAUACCCGAAGGAAUAUUUUCACAAUUAUCCUUAUAUGCUCAAUACACAAGGUAAUGUUGCAAAUAAUUAAAAGCUCAUGUUACGAUCUAAUCAGUGCUUAUUUUAGGACACUAAGCUUGUCCUUGGGAAACCAUCAAUUUAUGUCGGCGAAGUGGUUUCCCUUCCAACGCUGACCUAUAUCAAGAUCAACUCAACGAGAUCUGCAAUAUUUAUUAUAGACAUAUGCAUCGACAACCGCCCUUUUAAAGUUUUUAUGAAUAGAAAGGAAGAGGGGGUUGGAGAUCUCAAAUGUGGUGAUGUUGGAGAGACCAAUAGAUUGGGAAGAUGUUGCAUAUGAGCAUGGAGUAAAUGAGGUGGCUAUGAAAUAAAUUCCAUGCUCAUUAAUGUUAUCUUCGUCUCCAAUCUGAAUGUUCGGAGUUUCUCCUAGAUUGGUCUCACCUAUGUCCUCUUCUGUAGUUGGAUGAAUCUCAUCUUCAAAGGGAGUCAAGAACUCACCAUUUGAAAUUGAGCCAAAGUCAGAAUCUAUUAAGGCUUCUUCCUUAUCCAUCCAUUCUACACAUUCUAGCCAUCUAGAACUUGUGAUCAGGAAAGGGGAGGUGUUAGAGUUUUCUAUAUGGCUUAGCUCUCCUUCACUUGAUAUGUCAUCCUCGACUUCUUCAUAACAGGAACCAGGACGUUCUCUAAGAGAACCAUUAUUGCAAGGACUUGGAUUAUCCCUGCUUGAAGGUUUCUUAUGGAACCAGAAGUCUAAACCAUCAGUAUCUGAAAGAUUUAAGGUCGGAAUUCCUUCCUCCCUUUAAGAAUUUUGGGGUAUUGAUGGUUUAGGACGAUAGCUAAAGUUUGGGAUUGAAGUGGUUGUGAUCUGGCUAUCGAAACUUUUUCUUCUUGUCUAGGAACUGGUUCUUUCUCUUUAUCAGGGAUAUAAAAGCUAGGAGACUUUCCGCUCAUUAAAUCAAUCAAAUUCCAAGCUUCACUAGCAGGUAGGUGAUAGAAGGAUCCUCUAGAGGCUGUAUUCAAGGUUUGCUUAUUUUCCCUACUAAGGCCCUCAAAAAAGUGAAUUAGAAGAACUUCUGGAAUAGAAAGCUUUGGGCCAGUGAGAGUAAGGUUAAUAAAGCGGUCCCAUGAUUUGCCAAGAGAUUCUUCUUCCAGUUGUCUAAAAGAAAUAAUCUCACGCCGAAGUUCCGUCACUUUAGAGAAUGGAAAAUAUUUUAAAAGAAAACUAUUAUGUAACUCCUUCCAAUCUCCAUGAACACUCCCUACUUUGAGUUUAUACCAAUGUCUAGCUUUUCCUAUUAAAGAGAAUGGAAAGAGCUUCUAUUUAAGGGUCUCAUCGGAUAUGCCUUCAAUGCGAAGGAGGUCACAGACUCGAUAAAACUCUCUUAGGUGUGUGUAUGGGUUUUCCUCACCUUCACCUGAGAAAGGUUGUUUUUGAACAAAUUCUAUGUAUUCGGGGUCUAUCUCAAAACUAGAAGCUAUGAUAGGCUUUGAAGAUUUUGGUGGUUCGAGAUGUGUGCCCAUAGGUCUAUUAAACUUAUAGAUAAACAUGUUUGUAUUCAUGAUAGACCAGAGAUCAAGGAUUAGAUAAGAAGAAAGAAUAACAGAGAUGAGGCAAAGUAUAAAAGGAAAAUAUUUUUUUAUUUUUUUAGAAAAUGAUUAAGCUAGUUCGUAGUCAACUCAGCAACCGUCUCCUCGGCAACGGCGCCAAAAAUGCUUGUUGACACUUGCUAACACCACUUGAAUACUAGGUUGUCAUCCCAGCAUGGCACUAGAGUGUACUAUGGUAUUUAUACGCACACAGAUAAUCCGCAAGCGCACGGAUACUGUUGUAGCUUUUACGCGGUUAAAGGUUUUAUCGUAUCCACAGGGAAACGGGAGAACCAACUACGCUCUAACUUAGCCAAGAUAGAUAGAUAAGUGUAAAUAGGAAAGAUGAUAGAAUUGAAUAAGAACAAUAUUAAAGGUAAGAUAAUAAUGGGUGAUAAUAGGGGAAUAGAGAGUUGAGCAAUCUAGUAUAAGGGCAAUGGUAGCAGAAUAGAGAGAAUAACUAUGGUUUCUCUACUUCAAAGGGGUAUGUCUAUGUCUGGGACGAACCACGUGAUAAGAAUACACCACAAAGGAUGCUUAUCCAUAGGCCGAUAAACCCUACCCGUUCUGCUAACAGGAGGUGGACUACAGGGGACCAACGUAACUGUCACCUACGCGGCCUACCACACGAUCCAGCUAGACAGGGGAUAUCCACAAGUAAUCUAGGUCUAAGCACCACGCUUACACCUAUACUACAACUCUAACCUAUAGGGUCCUAUAGAUUUGAAGUACUGUUGAUAUUUGGUAACGCAAUUAGAAAAUGAUCCGCAAGCGUACGGAUAUCGGUGAGCAUUCCACCCGGGAGGUUUUCCAGAGUAUUGUAUUUAUAUUUUUACCACUGGGAGAAAGGGUGCAUCUGACUAACCAAAUCUAUUGCUACUACCCCUUUAGGCUACAAAGAAUGUUUCUCGAUGUGAGCGAUGUAUAGAGAAGACUGCAACCGUAGUCUCGUUCUAACCUUGGUAAGGAUGAUCUACUGUUCUAUUUGGGAAGCUUACGGAAUCUAGACACCACAAAGGAUGUUCGACCCGCACCUAUAAACCUACCCGUCCUGCUAACGAGAUAUGGUCUGCAAAGGUAACUCGGAAAUGUCACGUUCCUCGCUACUAUCACGGUACAGCUAGUCAGGGGAUAUCUAUGAGUACCCUAGCCUAAACACCAUGUUUACGCUAGCAAUGAUUACUCUAAUACUCAACCGAAAGAGGAUUAAAGUAAACUCAUAAACCAAAGAACAAUAAAACAAGAACUUACUAGAAUUAGAAUUCGAAUUACUGAAGAAUCUUAGGAGCAAGCCUCGGGUUAGAAGACUUGAUCUCGCAGGUACAACUCAGAGUAGACACCGACAGGCCAGCCUUCCUCCAAUCUACACCUCCACUCUAUCUGUCUCAAUCUAGUAGAAACUAGAAGAUCUAUUUCUACUUACAUUGGUUGCUAAGCCUAAAAAGAAAUUCUAUUUAGAGAAGAGGUUUUCCUUCGAGGGCACCCCUCAACUCUAUGAUAAACUUCUUGUCUUCUCCAGGGGCCAGGGGGGUCUCCUUAUAUAGUCCUCCUCCUCUAUGCGUUUUUGGGUCGGUAGGCGAUGUGGUACUACGUUAUCCUUGAUCCUGUAGGUCGGUGGAACGUCGUGUGCGAAGAGAGUCCUGAUUGACAUCCAGGAGAGGGCGGGCGCCCAGGUCCUCAGGGCGGGCGCCCUGGGCCUGGCCCCUUUCGGCCUCUGCUUUCUUCCCGUGGCUUCUGGAGUCUUCUAGAUGGUAGAAAAUUGCGCGGUGCGUUGAUAUCUCUAUGUAAUCCCGACAUGUGGGCCUUUCUUCAUAUUUCCUGAUAACCCCAUGCAGAAAUAGACAAACACCAAAACUCAUGGAAUUCUGUCAGAUAAAACACUAAGUCUGAGUGUUGGUUGCAUUUGGAUCCUUUUCUUUAUUUAUUUGAUGAUUAUAUUUGGUACUUAAGGACCGUCAACAACUACCCAAGCUUACCUCUUGCUCGUCCCUGAGCAAGGAUGAACUCAAGAGUUUCUGCAGUGGUUUCAUGCCUUAAAAGUACACACGCAUUCAAGCAAGAUCUCAUCUCUGAGUUAGAGUAAACUGUUAAGACUUUAAAACUUACUCAUUUUACCUUUCACCACGGGGCUUGUAACCGUCACUUGUGUCUUGAGCAGUUAAAAGAUAGAACGGUCAAGUCAAGCGCCAUGUUUCUUAUUCUUGAUCAGCUAUAGCUCUGGAGUUUUUGCAGAUUUUCAAAUAAAACUCAGAGAUUCCUUAUAUGAUUCUCUCAGAUCUCUCUUUUGUGGUAUUUCUGGAUCUUUUCCAAGGCAGUAAUGGUAUAUGCCUUCUCUCAAAGUAUGUGGUAUUUGUGGUAUGAGGCAUAGUGAUAUUGCCUUCUCUCUCACCCUACUCUAAUAAGGUUUUGAUAUCUGGAGCUCAUAGGUGGGAGACAGAUAAUACAUACUUACAAGACAUUUAUUGCAUAGUCAAACCAUGGAUCCAGAGAAACAAGUCAAUAAGUCAAAUCAAGAUGUGCAUGUGUGGCGAGUGAAUGGUGCAUGGUGAUGAUGGUGAUAACAAUGGUGAAAGUCUAAUUCUACUUUUGCUCUUUUGAGGGGAUACAUACCUUUCUUGCACUUUGAAGUUUUUUGAGGAGAAUGAGAUGCUCUAUAUUUUCUUUUUUCUUUCCUCUCAGGUGGGUAUCUUGUACCCCUAAUUCUACUGUCGGACACUUGUCCAUUUUUACCUCUCGUCUCACUUUUUCUUUUCUUUGAGGUUCCGAGAACUUGCCCCUUUUUAUUUCCUCGUAUCCUUUCUCUCUUUUUAUUUCUUUUCUUCUUCUUUUUUUAGAGCACUCAUCUCCUGAAAUAAUGUAGCAAGUGGUAGUAACCAAAAUAACUGGAGCAUUUAUUUCACAGGGAAUAACAGGGAUAGGAAAAUCUUUUUGGCUAUUCUCUCCCGGAUUAGGAGUAGAAUACUUUUGGGUGGCUCUGGAGAUGGAAGUGAGUGGAUAUAUGCGGAUGCGUACUUCCGGAGUAGAAGCAGCAAGUGUGAAGCGCCCCUGGUAAACUAGGAACUCAAAUGUGAUACAAUACUAGUCCCAGGAGGCUAGUAACACAUUUAUUACAUCAGAUAAGUUUCAGCGCAGUAGUCUCGAUAAGCGUGGACAAUGAAGGCACGCUAUAAUAAUAAGACACCAAAAUACAACAUAGGUCCAAAGGACCCAGAAACAAACGAUAUCGCCAUUGAACAUCUGACGAGUCCCAAUGCCACAGGCUUAGUUGGGUGCAGACACGACCUUACUCGAACGCCACUUCGGGAUCGAAGUCCGGAUCUUCCUCUGUUUAAUAAAGCGAGGGUGAGUACAAAGUACUCAGCAAAUCCAACCUUACCCUACGGAAGGGGAUAACAGUAUAUAUGCAUAUGGAUAAAUCAAGGAUGAGGCUUAGUUUUAUUUGCAUAAAGCUAUCUUUUUACACAUGCAAG
rnacentral:lncRNA from 1 species